rnacentral:rRNA from 1 species
ACACAUGCAAGUCGAGGGGAAACGACAUCGAAAGCUUGCUUUUGAUGGGCGUCGACCGGCGCACGGGUGAGUAACGCGUAUCCAACCUGCCCACCACUUGGGGAUAACCUUGCGAAAGUAAGACUAAUACCCAAUGAUAUCUCUAGAAGACAUCUGAAAGAGAUUAAAGAUUUAUCGGUGAUGGAUGGGGAUGCGUCUGAUUAGCUUGUUGGCGGGGUAACGGCCCACCAAGGCAACGAUCAGUAGGGGUUCUGAGAGGAAGGUCCCCCACAUUGGAACUGAGACACGGUCCAAACUCCUACGGGAGGCAGCAGUGAGGAAUAUUGGUCAAUGGACGAGAGUCUGAACCAGCCAAGUAGCGUGCAGGAUGACGGCCCUAUGGGUUGUAAACUGCUUUUAUAAGGGAAUAAAGUGAGUCUCGUGAGACUUUUUGCAUGUACCUUAUGAAUAAGGACCGGCUAAUUCCGUGCCAGCAGCCGCGGUAAUACGGAAGGUCCGGGCGUUAUCCGGAUUUAUUGGGUUUAAAGGGAGCGUAGGCCGGAGAUUAAGCGUGUUGUGAAAUGUAGAUGCUCAACAUCUGCACUGCAGCGCGAACUGGUUUCCUUGAGUACGCACAAAGUGGGCGGAAUUCGUGGUGUAGCGGUGAAAUGCUUAGAUAUCACGAAGAACUCCGAUUGCGAAGGCAGCUCACUGGAGCGCAACUGACGCUGAAGCUCGAAAGUGCGGGUAUCGAACAGGAUUAGAUACCCUGGUAGUCCGCACGGUAAACGAUGGAUGCCCGCUGUUGGUCUGAAUAGGUCAGCGGCCAAG